rnacentral:rRNA from 1 species
GACGAGCGCUGGCGGCGUGCUUAACACAUGCAAGUCGAACGGAAAGGCCUGCUUUCCCUUGUGGAUUGCGGGUACUCGAGCGGCGAACGGGUGAGUAACACGUGAGUGAUCUGCCCCCAACUUGGGUAUAAGCCUGGGAAACUGGGUCUAAUUCCCGAUAGGACUGCAGGGUGGUGCCUGUGGUGGAAAACGAUUUUCUAGUGGUUGGGGAUGAGCUCGCGGCCUAUCAGCUUGUUGGUGGGGUAAUGGCCUACCAAGGCGGCGACGGGUAGCCGGCCUGAGAGGGUGGACGGCCACAUUGGGACUGAGAUACGGCCCAGACUCCUACGGGAGGCAGCAGUGGGGAAUAUUGCACAAUGGGCGGAAGCCUGAUGCAGCGACGCCGCGUGGGGGAUGACGGCCUUCGGGUUGUAAACUCCUUUCGACCGCGAGGAAGCCACCUGGUUGGAAGGGUGGUGACGGUAGUGGUAGAAGAAGCACCGGCUAACUACGUG